UACGUAGGGUGCAAGCGUUAAUCGGAAUUACUGGGCGUAAAGCGCACGUAGGCGGCUUUGUAAGUUAGAGGUGAAAGCCUGGAGCUCAACUCCAGAAUUGCCUUUAAGACUGCAUCGCUUGAAUCAUGGAGAGGCGGGUGGAAUUCCGAGUGUAGAGGUGAAAUUCGUAGAUAUUCGGAAGAACACCAGUGGCGAAGGCGGCCCGCUGGACAUGUAUUGACGCUGAGGUGCGAAAGCGUGGGGAGCAAACAGG
rnacentral:rRNA from 1 species